GACCUUCCGAAGUUACACUCCAAAACCCCAAUGUGAACGUUACCAAUCUGUUGCCUCGGCGGGAUUCUCUUGCCCCGGGCGCGUCGCAGCCCCGGAUCCCAUGGCGCCCGCCGGAGGACCAACUCCAAACUCUUUUUUUCUCUCCGUCGCGGCUCCCGUCGCGGCUCUGUUUUACUUUUGCUCUGAGCCUUUCUCGGCGACCCUAGCGGGCGUCUCGAAAAUGAAUCAAAACUUUCAACAACGGAUCUCUUGGUUCUGGCAUCGAUGAAGAACGCAGCGAAAUGCGAUAAGUAAUGUGAAUUGCAGAAUUCAGUGAAUCAUCGAAUCUUUGAACGCACAUUGCGCCCGCCAGUAUUCUGGCGGGCAUGCCUGUCCGAGCGUCAUUUCAACCCUCGAACCCCUCCGGGGGGUCGGCGUUGGGGAUCGGCCCCUCACCGGGCCGCCCCCGAAAUACAGUGGCGGUCUCGCCGCAGCCUCUCCUGCGCAGUAGUUUGCACACUCGCACCGGGAGCGCGGCGCGGCCACAGCCGUAAAACACCCCAAACUUCUGAAAUGUUGACCUCGGAUCAGGUAGGAAUACCCGCUGAACUUAAGCAUAUCAAUAAGCGGAGGAA
rnacentral:rRNA from 1 species